rnacentral:rRNA from 1 species
GACGAACGCUGGCGGCGCGCCUAACACAUGCGAGUCGAACGGAGCUGAGAGAAGCUUGCUUUUCUUAGCUUAGUGGCGAACGGGUGAGUAACGCGUGAGUAACCUGCCCUGGAGUGGGGGACAACAGUUGGAAACGACUGCUAAUACCGCAUAAGCCCACGAUCCGGCAUCGGAUUGAGGGAAAAGGAUUUAUUCGCUUCAGGAUGGACUCGCGUCCAAUUAGCUAGUUGGUGAGGUAACGGCCCACCAAGGCGACGAUUGGUAGCCGGACUGAGAGGUUGAACGGCCACAUUGGGACUGAGACACGGCCCAGACUCCUACGGGAGGCAGCAGUGGGGGAUAUUGCACAAUGGGGGAAACCCUGAUGCAGCGACGCCGCGUGGAGGAAGAAGGUUUUCGGAUUGUAAACUCCUGUCGUUAGGGACGAUAAUGACGGUAUCUAACAAGAAAGCACCGGCUAACUACGUG